rnacentral:misc_RNA from 1 species
UUUCCGUAGGUGAACCUGCGGAGGGAUUAUUCACAAUAAGUAUAAUACGCCACUUUUUGAACACGCCCUUACCAGCUGGUUUGGAACGGUGUGAGACCCUCGAUCGUUAGCUGGUGGGUUACGGAAUCGUGAACCUCAAGAACUUCCGAACAUCACCUUUAACUGAUUAAUCUGUACAUUUCGUAUCACGUAUUAACUUAAUUCAAGAAUACAACUUUAAACAACGGAACUCUACGCUCGCACAUCGAUGAAGAACUCAGCACAUCGAAGUAGCACACU